rnacentral:rRNA from 1 species
CCUACGGGAGGCAGCAGUGAGGAAUAUUGGUCAAUGGACGAGAGUCUGAACCAGCCAAGUAGCGUGAAGGAUGACUGCCCUAUGGGUUGUAAACUUCUUUUAUAUGGGAAUAAAAUGUUCCACGUGUGGGAUUUUGUAUGUACCAUAUGAAUAAGGAUCGGCUAACUCCGUGCCAGCAGCCGCGGUAAUACGGAGGAUCCGAGCGUUAUCCGGAUUUAUUGGGUUUAAAGGGAGCGUAGGUGGAUUGUUAAGUCAGUUGUGAAAGUGUGCGGCUCAACCGUAAAAUUGCAGUUGAAACUGGCAGGCUUGAGUACAGUAGAGGUGGGCGGAAUGCGUGGUGUAGCGGUGAAAUGCUUAGAUAUCACGCAGAACUCCGAUUGCGAAGGCAGCUCACUGGACUGCAACUGACACUGAGGCUCGAAAGUGUGGGUAUCAAACAGGAUUAGAUACCCUAGUAGUC